rnacentral:SRP_RNA from 1 species
UUGUGCUAGGUGGGGAGUUAGCGGUGCCCUUUUCCCGAAAUCCGCUUAUGCGGGGCUGAAUUCCCUUCUUAGGGUUUUAUGUUAAAAUAAAUUAAUCAUCGUGGCGGGACACCAUGAACAGACAUUCGCGAACUUCGUCAGGUCCGGAAGGAAGCAGCGAUAAGUGAAUUUAGUCUGUGUCAUGGUCUGUAUUCGGUCAUUAUAUGGUUGACGCGUUUUAAAAAAAUUCAAUGGAGGGUGCACAA